UUUGCCUUGGUUCUGUUAAAGAACCAACUGAUAGAAGCUAUUUCAAGUGAAGAGCUUCGGUCAAUACAAAUCUGAAAGCAGUGACAUCAUUUUCUGACCUGAGUGCGUCUUCUAGUCAUGGAAGAAAGGUUUUAAUCCAGGCUCCUGCUUCUUUGUUAUGCUUUUCUCCUGGUAGAUGAACAAAUAAAAUGAGUCUCACUGGAAGGAUUAUUAUAAUUGGACUUCCCUGGUGGCGC